GGGGUCAAACACCUGCUCCAUGUCCUCGGCCAUCUCCACAGAGCAAACCAAAAAUCUGGAGAGACCCAGACAGUUCCAGACAGUACCUUUUGUAUGGAGGAGGUUCACUUCAAUCCCAUAUUUCUAGCGGAGGAUGUAAAGCUUUGGCGUUUAUGGUCAAAGCAGGAUGUGGAUCAGACACCUGCCAUCUUUUGUCAUUACCCAUUCUUGAUGAAUCUGCAGAGCAAGAUAAACGUUUUUAACAUCAACGCCGUACUCACACAGAAUCCCCUAACAAUCGCCAAAGGACUGGCAUGUGGCCUUUUAACAUGUUCCCCGUGGCGGCCCCUGCUGCGUCCUUUGAGCUGAGGCUGAAGCGAGCAUCACUCAUCGAAGACACUUUCCAACAACUGAGUGUAGCAUGUCCCAGUACCUUC